CCUACGGAGGCAGCAGUGGGGAAUAUUGGACAAUGGGCGAAAGCCUGAUCCAGCCAUGCCGCGUGCAGGAUGAAGGCCCUCGGGUUGUAAACUGCUUUUGUACGGAACGAAAAGCCUCUUUCUAGUAAAGAGGGGUGAUGACGGUACCGUAAGAAUAAGCACCGGCUAACUACGUGCCAGCAGCCGCGGUAAUA
rnacentral:rRNA from 1 species